rnacentral:rRNA from 1 species
GCUGGCGGCGUGCUUAACACAUGCAAGUCGAACGAACCUUCGGGUUAGUGGCGGACGGGUGAGUAACGCGUGAGAAUCUGCCCUCAGGAGGGGGAUAACGGUUGGAAACGACCGCUAAUACCCCAUAUGCCGCGAGGUGAAAUGAAUUUCGCCUGAGGAUGAGCUCGCGUCUGAUUAGUUAGUUGGUGGGGUAAAGGCCUACCAAGACAUCGAUCAGUAGCUGGUCUGAGAGGAUGAUCAGCCACACUGGGACUGAGACACGGCCCAGACUCCUACGGGAGGCAGCAGUGGGGAAUUUUCCGCAAUGGGCGAAAGCCUGACGGAGCAACGCCGCGUGAGGGAUGAAGGCCUCUGGGCUGUAAACCUCUUUUAUCAAGGAAGAAGAUCUGACGGUACUUGAUGAAUAAGCCACGGCUAAUUCCGUGCCAGCAGCCGCGGUAAUACGGGAGUGGCAAGCGUUAUCCGGAAUUAUUGGGCUUAAAGCGUCCGCAGGCGGUCUGUCAAGUCUGCUGUUAAAGCGUGGAGCCUAACUCCAUUUCGGCAGUGGAAACUGACAGACUA